rnacentral:rRNA from 1 species
AACGAACGCUGGCGGCAGGCUUAACACAUGCAAGUCGAGCGGGCGCUUUCGGGCGUCAGCGGCGGACGGGUUAGUAACGCGUGGGAACGUGCCCUUUGCUCUGGAAUAGCCCUGGGAAACCGGGGGUAAUACCGGAUGUGCCCUGAGGGGGAAAGGUUUUACCGGCAAGGGAUCGGCCCGCGUCUGAUUAGGUAGUUGGUGUGGUAACGGCGCACCAAGCCGACGAUCGGUAGCUGGUUUGCGAGGAUGAUCAGUAACACUGGGACUGAGACACGGCCCAGACUCCUACGGGAGGCAGCAGUGGGGAAUCUUAGACAAUGGGCGAAAGCCUGAUCUAGCCAUGCCGCGUGGGUGAUGAAGGCCUUAGGGUCGUAAAGCCCUUUCGCCGGGGAAGAUAAUGACGGUACCCGGUAAAGAAACCCCGGCUAACUCCGUGCCAGCCGCCGCGGUAA